rnacentral:misc_RNA from 1 species
CUGCAGCCCGACUUGAACGGAGCUCUUUUUGAGAAACGAAGUGGAGCAAAAAAGCGGGAGUGGAAGGCGGAUAAAGC